AGCUUUGCGCAGUGGCAGUAUCGUAGCCAAUGAGGUUUAUCCGAGGCGCGAUUAUUGCUAAUUGAAAACUUUUCCCAAAAAUUAAAAUUUAGGGAUAGAUAUUACUUAGUGCUCAGAGGAUC
rnacentral:snRNA from 1 species